CGCUUCCUCAUGGGACUCAGGCAAGACUCACAACACCCCCUGGUUUACCGGGGCAAGGCCAGCCCGAAACUCCCCAGUCCCUCUGCCUUGUGAACGAUCCCCCUGACUGCUCCUCCCACUGAGCCACCCCACAGGAUGCCUGUGACCCAGGCUUGGGUUAACAUGGCACCGCCCUCCAGGUCCUCAUCUGAGGCCCCAACUGGAGGCAGCAGACAGCCCCUCAGAGGCCAGGGUGGUUCCAGGAGGAACUCUACUCCACUGUCCCAUGGGUACCGUCAUCCCUUCUCCCAACACUCAUGCCUCUAGCCUUGCCGACCACUUUCUGUAAGAGAAAACCCCUGUCCCAACCCUCGAGACGCCUGCAGAGCUCAUGGUCAGGCAUCCUCCUCCCUGCAGCCGGCCCCUCCCUUAAGACUGCACGUGUCUUUCUCUGGCAUUGGUUCUCAGUGGUUCUUACGUUGGGGACAAUGGUCCCCUCUCUUCUGACCGCACCUGCCCAGGGAAGACACCAGCAUUCCUGGCCCCAUGUCCAGCUGUGGCCCAGGGCUCCAUGAGGACCCAGGAACUGUGGCACACAGGGUCCCUCUGCUCGGUGGCUGAUGUGGUAAGGAGGGACAGACCCACUGCAAGGCCCCACGCAGGCACUGUACAAAUGACCCUUCUCACAAUGGCACAGGCUCUCUGGGGGCUCACAUAUGUGACAGCUAUGGGGGAGGGUGGGAGGCUGUGGGCUAAGCCAAGCCCAAGGUCCCGCCCCACAGGUCCGGGAAGGGACAGGAUGACAGGCAGGACAGGCCAGGGUGAGCGAAGUCUUGACCCUGGUGUUAACCCAAAAUAUCUGAGAUGGGUCUCAGUCAAUUUAGGAAGUUUAUUUAGCCAAAGUUAAGGACGUGCGCCCAUGACACAUCCUCAGGAGGUCAUGAUGCCCAAGGUGGUCAGGGUGCAGCUUGGUUUUAUACAUUUUAGGGAGGCAUGUGGCAUCAAUCAAUAUGUGUAAGAGGUACAUUGGUUUCGUCCAGAAAGGCAGGACCACUGGAAAGAGGGAGGGGGCUUCCUGGUCACAGGCAGGUCAAGAACAAACUUGCAUUCUUUUGAGUCUCUGAUUAGCCUUUUCAAAGAAGGCAAUCAGAUAUGCACGUCUCUCAGUGAGCAGAGGGAUGGCUACGAAUAGGGAGGCAGGUUUGCCCACAGCAGUUCCCAGCUUGAUUUUUCCCUUUGUGUAGUGAUGUUGGCGUCCCAAGAUUUAUUUCCCUUUCACACUGCCUUCAGCCCUCAGGUCACCCAGAGUACAGGUUCGGUUCUGGGAGGCUCUGGGCGAGAUGGGCUCUUUGAGUCCCAGCUGACCGGGCUGCUUGGGAAGGCAGUGAGCACAAGCUCCUGUUUAACCUGUACUGUGAACAUCACUGCGAGUCCCUGGUGGACCGGGCUGCAGGGAUAAGGGACCCUCGAGGCCACAGGCAAGGAGGCUGGCAGGCCAGUGUGGUCCAUAUCUGGUGACACCACACCUCGCCGGCACCCUGCUCUGGGUAUUAGUAAGCAAGGGUGACCCCUCACUGGCACCCUGCUCUGGGUGUUACUAAGCAAGAGUGACCCCUCGCCAUCCCUCCCUUGCCUCCCAGCCCUUCCGUGAGCUGAGAAAGAGUCUCCAAAGGCCGCGGGGCAUUCGAGCAGCCCCUGUGAGCCAUUUUGCUUCCGCAUCUCAUAUUUCCCUGCGUCUUUUCACCAAAUAUAUGAAGUUGUGAACACAAAACUGUCAACUGAGCUAGCUGUCUCCCUCUAACAAGAUCAGUCCCAAUUAUGCCAGCUGCCAGGAGGAUGCUGAGAGCUGUGUUCGUCUGAGAUCCUGUCUUCUGCGGUGACGUGGUGAUGGCACAGGGCAGGCCCAGGGAGUGUGUUUGAGAGGCCCCUGUGGCCGCUUCCAGAGCACCAUCAGAGAGACUCAGAGGCAUCCAGCCUGAGCAACAUGGCAACACCCCUUCUCUCCAAAAAAGAAAUACAAAAAUUAGCCGGGCAUGGUGGUGCAUGCCUAUGGUCCCAGCUACUCAGGAGGCUGAAGAGGGAGGAUUGCUUGAACCCAGGGGACAGAGGUUGCAGUGAGCUGGGAUCAUGCCACUGCACUCCAGCCUAGAUUUUUUAAAAGAAGAAAUAUGUGGACAGAAAAUAUGUGACUGAAACACCAGGAGUUUGAUGUUGGUCUUGUUGCUCACUGCACAGAAAGCCAGUCACUGAGACAAUGAAUACUGCAGGGAAGAAGGAAGGCUUCAUGCAGGUGUGCAGCUGAGGAGGAAGAGGAGAUGAAGACACAGAUAUGCACAGAGGGGCAGCCCUGUGAGGACACGUGGAGAAGACGGCGUGUGCGAGCCAGGGAGACAGAAACCAACCGUGACAACCCCUGAUCUCAGACUGCCAGCCUCCAGAGCUGGGGGAAAGUACGUUUCUGCUAUUGAAGCCCCCAGUCUGUGGUGCCGGGUUACGCGCCAGUACCCAUACGCCAGCCGAGACAGCAAUAGCGAGACACUCCGGACAGGUGAAGGGCGUGCGGCCUUCCCACCACCCACCUGAAAACACUGCCUAAAGAUGAGCCCAGUCCACAAAGCCUGUAUGAAAUGACGCGUUCAACAGCAGGAAAGACCUGGAUGGCAUAAAAAGAAAAAGAGUCAGGGAGACCAAGUCAGGCGAGGGGAGAAUGAGACUGGAAAUGGUUUGGCUGUGUCCCUACACAAAUCUCAUCUUUAAUUGCAGCUCCCAUAAUUCCCAUGUGUUGUGGGAGGGACCCAGUGGGAGAUAAUUGAACGGUGGGGGCGGUUUGCCCAUAGCGUUCUCAUGGUAGUGAAUAAGUCUCCUGAGAUCUGAUGGUUUUAAAAGGGGAAA